UUGCCCAUCGGGACCGCGGACACCUGCUUAGAUUUUU
rnacentral:ncRNA from 1 species